rnacentral:lncRNA from 1 species
UCAGGAAUACCAACAAACGCUAGUCCAACCCAUAGAAUUAGUCCAAUAUAAUCAACAAAAACUAAUAUUAACCAAGUAUAUUUCAAAUGUACCAAUCAUAAUUAAUAGUAUAACCUUAGUAUUACCUCAAACUUAUUUUAUACCUACUAUAAGUUUAUAUCCUCUCAUUUUAGGUCUAAAUUUUGUACAUUCUUUACAAUAAGGGAUAACAAUACAAAAUAACCAAGUUAAAUUUCAUCCUAAAACAACAACAAUUGUUUAUACAAAUAUGAAUCAAAUAAAAAUCAUAAUGUAACCUCUCAUCAGAUUAAUAAAGCAG